UGNGACAAGAGCUUAUGUCAGCCCAAGUA
rnacentral:piRNA from 1 species